GAUUGGCUCGGAGCAACUCUAUAUUAUUUUGGUCGUCGUAGUUGUCGAUCCAUAGAGAUGGAAGUCCAAUUUCCAUUGAUCGCUUUCAUUCCAAAGAAGAGGCUGAAAGGAGUCUCUCCUAUUGGUAUUCUCUGGGUGAUUCGAUAGGCUCAAAGUAUGUUAUGUAGCUCAUCCACCCACAAUCCUUUGGCUUAAUCUAACCUGAUCUUCAAUUCCUGCAAAAAGAUGCGGUUAGUAACUUCAGCUUCUCCAUUGGCCCAUGGGUGCCCUACUAAUGUGAAGUGAU
rnacentral:lncRNA from 1 species